AGCGUUGGAAACGACGUCUAAUACCGGAUAUGAGCUGUGACCGCAUGGUCAACAGUUGGAAAGAACUUCGGUCAAGGAUGAGCUCGCGGCCUAUCAGCUUGUUGGUGAGGUAAUGGCUCACCAAGGCGUCGACGGGUAGCCGGCCUGAGAGGGUGACCGGCCACACUGGGACUGAGACACGGCCCAGACUCCUACGGGAGGCAGCAGUGGGGAAUAUUGCACAAUGGGCGCAAGCCUGAUGCAGCAACGCCGCGUGAGGGACGACGGCCUUCGGGUUGUAAACCUCUUUUAGCAGGGAAGAAGCGAAAGUGACGGUACCUGCAGAAAAAGCACCGGCUAACUACGUGCCAGCAGCCGCGGUAAUACGUAGGGUGCAAGCGUUAUCCGGAAUUAUUGGGCGUAAAGAGCUCGUAGGCGGUUUGUCGCGUCUGCUGUGAAAUCUGGGGGCUCAACCCCCAGCCUGCAGUGGGUACGGGCAGACUAGAGUGCGGUAGGGGAGAUUGGAAUUCCUGGUGUAGCGGUGGAAUGCGCAGAUAUCAGGAGGAACACCGAUGGCGAAGGCAGAUCUCUGGGCCGUAACUGACGCUGAGGAGCGAAAGGGUGGGGAGCAAACAGGCUUAGAUACCCUGGUAGUCCACCCCGUAAACGUUGGGAACUAGUUG
rnacentral:rRNA from 1 species